GAGUAACUGAGCACAGGUUACAAAAGCUGGCUCAUUUGUAAUAAAUGGCUGGAGCAGUAUGUUUGGGAGAGGGGUGCAACAUUAUGCAAACCUGGGGCACUUUGCUCCCGUUAAAGCCCCGGAGGGAAAUCGACGUUAUGAAGCAAAACCGGGAUUCAUAAACAAAGGUGGCGCUCGUAGGGAGGAAUGGGUGCUUCGCUCGUCCCCUGCCUGCUAGUUCUUCGAACUGCGCGUCUCUCCUUCUCUGACUGGGGCUCGGCGGCUUCCACGACUGUUGCUUGGCCAGACGAGGAGAAAAGGCAGGGAUACCAAAGCCUGCUUUCCGAACCGGCUGGAGGAGAAGGUAGAAGACGGACCCAGAGAUCCGCGGUAAGAGCGUCGGCCCGAAAACCGAGCUACGCCGCAGAAGAACGGAGCCGAAACAGCCAGGAUACAACAAGCACGCGGUGACGACGAAGCGGGGCUGGGAGUGAACUGGACUUUGAGACGCGCGGAGCCGGCCUGCGGGCAAAGCGCCGGCGGUGAACCGACGCCGGUGAGGCCGCGUCUAGGGACGCGAAAGAAAGGACAGCACCUGGCGCUUUCAAGGGAAGGGAAACGCCUGAGCCGUGAGUGUUGCGGAACGGAGGCUUAUCGACCGUCCUCAGCUGGUUUGGAGCUCUAGCAAGGUCACAAGAGGUUUGAAGAAGAGCCAUCCAGCUUUACGGACAACUCCUUGCUCUUUCUCAUACAGCCAAUCUAGUUGCUCUAAGGUGUCUGUGUUUUCAGUGUUCAUCCUGCUCAGGGGAGAGUUAAGAAGAGUACUGCGGAGGUCCUCUGUGCUCCACCUUAGAAGACAUCUAUGGCUGAGGCUCUACUGGCUUUGGGAAUUCCCCAUGUUUCACUGCAGACUCACUCAAAUGUGGGUGGAAUUACCAGUCUGUAUCCUUGGCAUUAACUUGAUAGCUGGUCAACAAGUUUACCGAAGAAUUUCAUAUGAAUCCCUUAAUGAUAUUGCUAGAUGGUUGUCUUCCUUGCUUCCACUGUCUCUUGAAUCAGCGGCAUUGAGAGAUGUUAGCAUGUUGAGCACGUCGUCCUGCCUCCGUUGCGCCACCAGAUGAGGUACUCUCUGGGCAAUAAAUCCCAUUAAACAGAGUGGGUUAGUUUUGAAGGUUGCAAGGCAAUUUCCAGAAUUCAUCUUAUGGCUGAAGUGGUCACCCUUGGAGUUUGUUUGGAAACUGGUUAUCGUGCACGGCAGCUGUUUCAAAGAGAUUUUGCAACUGAUCGGUAGAUCAACCCAUUCCUCCUCCAGGUGCGUCUAAUGGAAACACUUUGCUGUAGGCGAUUAGUGUGUUCACAGCCUGAGUCUGCAUGGCAAGUCCCAGUCCUAGCUACUAUGCUAUGCUGAGAUGCUGUUGUGUUUACUAUGAAUAAAUACAACCACUGAAGUUCA